rnacentral:tRNA from 2 species
GGGGGAUUAGCUCAGCUGGGAGAGCGCUUGCAUGGCAUGCAAGAGGUCAGCGGUUCGAGCCCGCUAUCCUCCA